rnacentral:rRNA from 1 species
AUUGAACGCUGGCGGCAUGCCUUACACAUGCAAGUCGAACGGUAACCGGUCUUCGGAUGCUGACGAGUGGCGAACGGGUGAGUAAUACAUCGGAACGUGCCCGAGAGUGGGGGAUAACGAGGCGAAAGCUUUGCUAAUACCGCAUACGAUCUCAGGAUGAAAGCAGGGGACCGCAAGGCCUUGCGCUCACGGAGCGGCCGAUGGCGGAUUAGGUAGUUGGUGGGAUAAAAGCUUACCAAGCCGACGAUCUGUAGCUGGUCUGAGAGGACGACCAGCCACACUGGGACUGAGACACGGCCCAGACUCCUACGGGAGGCAGCAGUGGGGAAUUUUGGACAAUGGGCGCAAGCCUGAUCCAGCCAUGCCGCGUGCAGGAUGAAGGCCUUCGGGUUGUAAACUGCUUUUGUACGGAACGAAAAGACUCUGGUUAAUACCUGGGGUCCAUGACGGUACCGUAAGGAUAAGCACCGGCUAACUACGUGCCAGCCGCCGCCGUAAAAC